UAAGGUUUUAAUUGAAUGCUAAGAGAAUGGAAUUACAGAAAAUGACUUUUUUAAAUUCAAAAUUUGAAUUUAUUUUUAUUUGUGAAGAAACAAUAAUUUACAUUAAGGACAAGAAGACCCUAAGAAUUUUAAAAGAAAAUAAAAUUUACUUAAUUUUGAAUUCUUUUUAAUUGGGGCGAUUAAAAAAUAUUAAAAACUUUUUUUAAAUUAAAAUGAACCGUUAUUAACGGUUAAAUGAUAAAAAUACUCUAGGGAUAACAGCGUAAUAAUUUUUGAUAGUUCUUAUAGACAAAAUAGUUUGCGACCUCGAUGUUGGAUUAGGAUACUUUUUUAAUGGAGAAG
rnacentral:rRNA from 1 species